rnacentral:rRNA from 1 species
CAAGACAAUGAUGCAUAGCCGAGUUGAGAGACUGAUCGGCCACAUGGGACUGAGACACGGCCCAAAUUCCUACGGGAGGCUGCAGUAGGGAAUCUUCCACAAUGGGCGAAAGCCUGAUGGAGCAACGCCGCGUGUGUGAUGAAGGCUUUCGGGUCGUAAAGCACUGUUGUAUGGGAAGAACAGCUAGAAUAGGAAAUGAUUUUAGUUUGACGGUACCAUACCAGAAAGGGACGGCUAAAUACGUGCCAGCAGCCGCGGUAAUACGUAUGUCCCGAGCGUUAUCCGGAUUUAUUGGGCGUAAAGCGAGCGCAGACGGUUUAUUAAGUCUGAUGUGAAAGCCCGGAGCUCAACUCCGGAAUGGCAUUGGAAACUGGUUAACUUGAGUGCAGUAGAGGUAAGUGGAACUCCAUGUGUAGCGGUGGAAUGCGUAGAUAUAUGGAAGAACACCAGUGGCGAAGGCGGCUUACUGGACUGCAACUGACGUUGAGGCUCGAAAGUGUGGGUAGCAAACAGGAUUAGAUACCCUGGUAGUCCACACCGUAAACGAUGAACACUAGGUGUUAGGAGGUUUCCGCCUCUUAGUGCCGAAGCUAACGCAUUAAGUGUUCCGCCUGGGGAGUACGACCGCAAGGUUGAAACUCAAAGGAAUUGACGGGGACCCGCACAAGCGGUGGAGCAUGUGGUUUAAUUCGAAGCAACGCGAAGAACCUUACCAGGUCUUGACAUCCUUUGAAGCUUUUAGAGAUAGAAGUGUUCUCUUCGGAGACAAAGUGACAGGUGGUGCAUGGUCGUCGUCAGCUCGUGUCGUGAGAUGUUGGGUUAAGUCCCGCAACGAGCGCAACCCUUAUUGUUAGUUGCCAGCAUUCAGAUGGGCACUCUAGCGAGACUGCCGGUGACAAACCGGAGGAAGGCGGGGACGACGUCAGAUCAUCAUGCCCCUUAUGACCUGGGCUACACACGUGCUACAAUGGCGUAUACAACGAGUUGCCAACCCGCGAGGGUGAGCUAAUCUCUUAAAGUACGUCUCAGUUCGGAUUGUAGUCUGCAACUCGACUACAUGAAGUCGGAAUCGCUAGUAAUCGCGGAUCAGCACGCCGCGGUGAAUACGUUCCCGGGUCUUGUACACACCGCCCGUCACACCAUGGGAGUUUGUAAUGCCCAAAGCCGGUGGCCUAACCUUUAGGAAGGAGCC